GCUGCCUUGGCGCAGUCGGUAGCGCGUCGCCUUGGUAAGGCGGAGGUCGGGGGUUCAAGUCCCCUAGGCAGCUUCA
rnacentral:tRNA from 10 species